UACAGAGGUCUCAAGCGUUGUUCGGAUUCAUUGGGCGUAAAGGGUGCGUAGGCGGCGCGGUAAGUCGGGUGUGAAAUCUCGGAGCUUAACUCCGAAACUGCAUUCGAUACUGCCGUGCUUGAGGACUGGAGAGGAGACUGGAAUUUACGGUGUAGCAGUGAAAUGCGUAGAUAUCGUGAGGAAGACCAGUGGCGAAGGCGGGUCUCUGGACAGUUCCUGACGCUGAGGCGCGAAGGCCAGGGGAGCAAACGGG
rnacentral:rRNA from 1 species